AGAGUUUGAUCCUGGCUCAGAUUGAACGCUGGCGGCAUGCCUUACACAUGCAAGUCGAACGGCAGCACGGAGCUUGCUCUGGUGGCGAGUGGCGAACGGGUGAGUAAUAUAUCGGAACGUACCCUAGAGUGGGGGAUAACGUAGCGAAAGUUACGCUAAUACCGCAUACGAUCUACGGAUGAAAGUGGGGGAUCGCAAGACCUCAUGCUCAUGGAGCGGCCGAUAUCUGAUUAGCUAGUUGGUAGGGUAAAAGCCUACCAAGGCAUCGAUCAGUAGCUGGUCUGAGAGGACGACCAGCCACACUGGAACUGAGACACGGUCCAGACUCCUACGGGAGGCAGCAGUGGGGAAUUUUGGACAAUGGGCGAAAGCCUGAUCCAGCAAUGCCGCGUGAGUGAAGAAGGCCUUCGGGUUGUAAAGCUCUUUUGUCAGGGAAGAAACGGUUGUCUCUAAUACAGAUGGCUAAUGACGGUACCUGAAGAAUAAGCACCGGCUAACUACGUGCCAGCAGCCGCGGUAAUACGUAGGGUGCAAGCGUUAAUCGGAAUUACUGGGCGUAAAGCGUGCGCAGGCGGUUAUGUAAGACGGAUGUGAAAUGCCCGGGCUUAACCUGGGAACUGCAUUUGUGACUGCAUGGCUAGAGUUUGGCAGAGGGGGGUAGAAUUCCACGUGUAGCAGUGAAAUGCGUAGAUAUGUGGAGGAACACCGAUGGCGAAGGCAGCCCCCUGGGUCAAGACUGACGCUCAUGCACGAAAGCGUGGGGAGCAAACAGGAUUAGAUACCCUGGUAGUCCACGCCCUAAACGAUGUCUACUAGUUGUCGGGUCUUAAUUGACUUGGUAACGCAGCUAACGCGUGAAGUAGACCGCCUGGGGAGUACGGUCGCAAGAUUAAAACUCAAAGGAAUUGACGGGGACCCGCACAAGCGGUGGAUGAUGUGGAUUAAUUCGAUGCAACGCGAAAAACCUUACCUACCCUUGACAUGGCUGGAAUCCCUGAGAGAUUGGGGAGUGCUCGAAAGAGAACCAGUACACAGGUGCUGCAUGGCUGUCGUCAGCUCGUG
rnacentral:rRNA from 1 species